rnacentral:rRNA from 1 species
GAGAGAGACAUGCGCGCAUAUCAAUAAGCGGAGGAAAAGAAACUAACAAGGAUUCCCCUAGUAACGGCGAGUGAAGCGGGAAGAGCUCAAAUUUGAAAUCUUAAAGGGUUUCCCUUUACGAAUUGUAGUUUAAAGAAGUGUUUUCUGUUGGAGUUUUGGUAAAAGUUCUUUGGAAUAGGACAUCAUAGAGGGUGAGAAUCCCGUAUUUGACCAUUUACUUUCAGCUGUGUGAUACACUUUCAAAGAGUCGGAUUGUUUGGGAAUGCAGUCCAAAAUGGGUGGUAAAUUUCAUCUAAAGCUAAAUAUUGGCGAGAGACCGAUAGCGAACAAGUACCGUGAGGGAAAGAUGAAAAGAACUUUGAAAAGAGAGUUAAACAGUACGUGAAAUUGUCAAAGGGAAGCGUUUGACACCAGUGUUGUUUUUCUGAAAAUCAAUUAAAGAACUGUUUAUGCUAAGCUGUUUAGACUUUAUCAGCUAUCUGUUUAGUUUUGAGCUUUUCUUUAAUGCACUUUUCAGUUAACAAGUCAACAUCAAUUUCUUUUGCUGUAAAAAAGCUUGAGGAAGGUGGCUUGAGAUUCGUCUUAAGUGUUUAUAGCCUCUUGCCUAUGCAGUCGGAGAGAUUGAGGUCUGCAGCGUAGAUCCUUCGGGGCUAAAUGCAUUUGUGCUAAGUUAUAGCAUUUUAUAGACAACUUGUUGACUAUGAUUUGUCUUGUAGCUUACUCGCUUAUGUUAUUUUACCUACGCUUAGGAUGUUGAGCGCAUGUCUCUCUCU